CAGCCGCCGCGGUAAUACCGGCGGCCCGAGUGGCGGUCACUAUUAUUGGGCUUAAAGCGUCCGUAGCCGGGUUGGGAAGUCCUCCGGGAAAUCUGGCCGCUUAACGGUCAGAAUGCCGGAGGGUACUCCCAGCCUAGGGAGCGGGGGGGGCCGGGGGGAUUCCCGGGGUAGGGGGGAAAUCCUAUAAUCCCGGGAGGACCACCUGUGGCGAAGGGGCUCGGCUGGAACGCGUCCGACGGUGAGGGACGAAGGCCAGGGGAGCAAACCGGAUUAGAUACCCGGGUAGUCCUGGCUGUAAACGAUGCGGACUUUGUGUCGGACAAGCUAUGAGCUUGUCCGGUGCCGGAGGGAAACCGUUAAGUCCGCCGCCUGGGGAGUACGGCCGCAAGGUUGAAACUUAAAGGAAUUGGCGGG
rnacentral:rRNA from 1 species